rnacentral:misc_RNA from 1 species
UCUCCGUUGGUGAACCAGCGGAGGGAUCAUUGCCGAGUCUUGGACUCCCAAACCAUCGUGAACCUACCAUUCGUUGCCUCGGCAGAAGCUACCUGGUUACCUUACCUUGGAACGGCCUACCCUGUAGCGCCUUACCCUGGAACGGCCUACCCUGUAACGGCUGCCGGUGGACUACCAAACUCUUGUUAUUUUAUAGUAAUCUGAGCGUCUUAUUUUAAUAAGUCAAAACUUUCAACAACGGAUCUCUUGGUUCUGGCAUCGAUGAAGAACGCAGC